CAGUCGCCGCGGGAAUACGAAGGGUGCAAGCGUUAAUCGGAAUUACUGGGCGUAAAGCGUGCGUAGGCGGUUCGUUAAGUCUGUUGUGAAAUCCCCGGGCUCAACCUGGGAAUGGCAAUGGAUACUGGCAAGCUAGAGUGUGUCAGAGGAUGGUGGAAUUCCCGGUGUAGCGGUGAAAUGCGUAGAGAUCGGGAGGAACAUCAGUGGCGAAGGCGGCCAUCUGGGACAACACUGACGCUGAGACACGAAAGCGUGGGGAGCAAACAGGAUUAGAUACCCCCGUAGUCCCUGUCUCUUAUAC
rnacentral:rRNA from 1 species